rnacentral:rRNA from 1 species
GUGGGGAAUAUUGGACAAUGGGCGCAAGCCUGAUCCAGCCAUGCCGCGUGAGUGAUGAAGGCCCUAGGGUUGUAAAGCUCUUUCACCGGUGAAGAUAAUGACGGUAACCGGAGAAGAAGCCCCGGCUAACUUCGUGCCAGCAGCCGCGGUAAUACGCAGGGGGCUAGCGUUGUUCGGAAUUACUGGGCGUAAAGCGCACGUAGGCGGACAUUUAAGUCAGGGGUGAAAUCCCAGAGCUCAACUCUGGAACUGCCUUUGAUACUGGGUGUCUUGAGUAUGGAAGAGGUAAGUGGAAUUCCGAGUGUAGAGGUGAAAUUCGUAGAUAGUCGGAGGAACACCAGUGGCGAAGGCGGCUUACUGGUCCAUUACUGACGCUGAGGUGCGAAAGCGUGGGGAGCAAACAGGAUUAGAUACCCCGGUAGUCC